GGCGGGCGGGUGAGGAAUGCCUAGGAAUCUCCUUGAUCUUGGGGGAUAACGUGCGGAAACUGGCGCUAAUACUGCAUACGUCCCAGGGUGAAAGUGGGGGAUCUUCGGGCCUCACGCUAUCGGAUGAGCCCAGGUCGGAUUAGCUAGUUGGCGGGGUAAAGGCCCACCAAGGCGACGAUCCGUAGCUGGUCUGAGAGGAUGAUCAGCCACACUGGAAGUGAGACACGGUCCAGACUCCUACGGGAGGCAGCAGUGGGGAAUAUUGGACAAUGGGCGCAAGCCUGAUCCAGCCAUGCCGCGUGUGUGAAGAAGGCCUUCGGGUUGUAAAGCCCUUUUAGUGGGGAGGAAGGCCAGUUGGUUAAUACCCGGUUGGUUUGACGUUACCCACAGAAUAAGCACCGGCUAACUUCGUGCCAGCAGCCGCGGUAAUACGAGGUGCAAGCUCUAAUCGAUUACUGGGCGUAAGCGCGCGUAGGUGGUUAGUCAAGUCGGAUGUGAAAUCCCCGGGCUCAACCUGGGAACUGCAUCCGAGAACUGGGCUUAGAGUCUGAAGGUUGGAAUUCCUGUGGUCAGCGCGACUGCGUAGAAUCGGAGGAACACCGGUGGCGAAGGCGCCACCUGGACCAACACUGACACUGAGGUGCGAUAGCUGGGGAGCAAACAGAUUACUCCCGGUAGUCCACGCCCUAAACGAUGUCAACUGGAAGUUGGGAGCCUUUUGGCCUGCCUUCCCGAACUUACGCCAUUAGUCUCCCCCCCGGGGAAUACCGGCCCCAGGUUUGAACUCCAAUGAAUUUACCGGGGCCCCCACCAACCGUGGAACUUUUGGGUUAAUUCCAAGCCACGCGAAAAACCCUACCUGGGCCUCACCUUGUCAAAACUUUUCACAAAUGGUAUGGUGGCCUCCGGGACCCUGAACCCAGGGCUUCCUG
rnacentral:rRNA from 1 species